AUGCAAAAUGACUCUCGGCAACGGAUAUCUCGGCUCUUGCAUCGAUGAAAAACGUAGCGAAAUGCGAUACUUGGUGUGAAUUGCAGAAUCCCGUGAACCAUCGAGUCUUUGAACGCAAGUUGCGCCCGAAGCCAUUAGGUUGAGGGCACGCCUGCCUGGGUGUCACAC
rnacentral:rRNA from 1 species